AGGACUGCUGGAGGACUGCAGAGAAAUGAGCCUACUCCUCUGGGGCCCUGGGCAGACCUCC
ensembl:miRNA